rnacentral:lncRNA from 1 species
AUGCGGCUCUGCAGGACCUGCGCUCUCCUGGCGCUUCUGUUUCUGGCAGUCUUGGAUUCAUCAGAAUCCCAGCAGGAGGUCGUUCGACCAGACAAAGGCUUGAAUGUGAUCGUGUCCACCGAGCAGCCAAAAUGUUCUGUGUGUAUCGUCAGCAAGGUGAACAGCACACAGUCUUCCUGCAACUCUUCUCUCUCUCUGGUACCUGAAGUUGAGACCACACUGGAGUUUUCCUGCCCCCAGCCUGUCGAGCAGUCUUACACUGUGACGAUUGCUCGCUCCAUCGAAUGCACUGAGAAUGCCUGCAGCCCGCCAACUCUGCAAACUCAACCAUCCAUCCUGACUAACUUUGCCAGAAUCUUCACCUGGGAUCUGAAUGCAGCUCAGGACACAGUCGUGCGCCUGAGCAUCAUCGAAGGAGGACUGACGGACACAUUACAGCCAUGCUCAGAUGGCUAUCAGUUCUCUGUGUCCACAUCCAUAGCCAGCAGCAAGGCCCAGACUCAGUACUGUCGAGGCGGUUCUGUGAAAAGUUUGUAUCUGAUCAAUCCAGCUGUCGUGUCUCUGCAAGUGAAACCAAAAGCUCAGGUGGUCAGUGAGCUGUUUCAGAUCUCCGUCACACAACCGAAAACUGAGGUCAUAAGCGUUGAUUCCAGCACGACCAUGGUCCUCAGCCGGGACCCGAAGGAAUCGGUGUGUGAAGUGUGCACCGCUGAAGGCCCCACUCUCACCUGCAGCACGGAAAAGACGCUGAACAAUGUUGACAAACUUUCAGUGGUGUUCAGCUGCCUGAAACCUCAAGAUGGGUUCAAUGUGAAGAUAAAAAAGACAAUAGAAUGCACCAAGACUUCCUGCACACCUUCUGCAGCAGAAAUUGUUCCCGAUCAACUUAAUGCCUUCAAAAGAUCCUUGACGUGGGGCAUCAGUGUCCCAGAGAGCACUGUAUUAACUCUGGACUUUCCUGGUGGUUUGAAGGACAUCUCUUCAGGGGGGACCUGCCCAGAUGCCUAUCAGUACUCAGUGAAUACAACUAAAAGCAAUGGCGAAAUUCAAAGUAACAACUACUGCAAAGGUGGGACAGUGUCUGAUCUGAAUCUGCUUGGAGCAACGACUGUGACUAUCGAAGUGCCCAAAGGAGAAAAACUGGAGUCGGCAGCAUUUAAUGUCAAAGCCACAGAGAGAGGCAAGUUUGAACACUUUCUAGAACCCGUAGAGGAAGAUGUUUUAUUCAUUUUAUAUAAAGAAAAAACAUCAUAGCACAUAUUUAUGGAGACAUAUCCUUAACAAUGGCUGAUAAAUCCUUUUAAAUGGUAAUGAUUCAAUAAUUGCCUCUUUAUACAGUUGCAGCUAAGGACCUAUAACUCAAAUGUAGUUACUUUAAUCUGUAUAUAUUUGACCUGGACAUUGAUUAAUAGGGAAAACAAAGCUAAGCUUUGUUUCUUGUCCCCAGCCAAAUGUUAAAAAGUUAUACCAAAAUAAAUUAUAUGCUAUAUCUGAUCAAAUUUUGU